AACACUCCAGCAUUAGGCCGAAACAAGGCAAAAUCGAGUGUAUCAAGUGAGCAACCAAAAAAUGGAUAUGGGUUUACCAUAAGAGGUGAAUUUGUAGCUCUAAGGAAGCUAAGCAAGGGUUUAAGUACAUAAGUAUCAUAUCCUUGUCGAAACAUUGCGGUCGACGGUGGGCUUGAAUUUGAGAUAAUGCCUAAAGAGUGCGGUGUGGAGACUUGGAUUCUACGGUCUAAUGAAGCUUCGAAAAGGGCAGAGUGGAGAUUUUGCAUAGCAGGGACUACACUUCCUAUCAAUAAUUUGUUUGCUGUU
rnacentral:lncRNA from 1 species